GAUGAACGCUAGCUACAGGCUUAACACAUGCAAGUCGAGGGGUAACGAGAGGAAAGCUUGCUUUCCUUGUCGACGACCGGCGCACGGGUGAGUAACGCGUAUCCAACCUGCCCCCAACUAGGGAAUAACCUUGCGAAAGUAAGACUAAUACCCUAUAAUUUCCUCAGAUGUCAUCUGACGAGGAAUAAAGAUUUAUCGGUUGUGGAUGGGGAUGCGUCUGAUUAGCUUGUUGGCGGGGUAACGGCCCACCAAGGCAACGAUCAGUAGGGGUUCUGAGAGGAAGGUCCCCCACACUGGAACUGAGACACGGUCCAAACUCCUACGGGAGGCAGCAGUGAGGAAUAUUGGCCAAUGGGCGGAAGCCUGAACCAGCCAAGUAGCGUGCAGGAUGACGGCCCUAUGGGUUGUAAACUGCUUUUAUACAGGAAUAAAGUUAGCCACGUGUGGUUAUUUGUAGGUACUGUAUGAAUAAGGACCGGCUAAUUCCGUGCCAGCCGCCGCUGUAA
rnacentral:rRNA from 1 species